AUCCUCAAACCUUUGAACGGUGAUAUACAUAUAUUCAUAAAAUCAUAAAAAGUCCAUACACAGUGUCAUUUCCACCACAUCUCACAUUAUUCACAUAUCAUAUUUCAUCUCAAAUAUGCUUCACUGACACUUUUGUUUUAUUAAUAACCAAGUACACUAAAGUUUCAGUAUUAUUUUCUCAUUAAUGUCUCUUAUACCUUCAGUUUUUCCCACAUUCUAACAGAUUUUAAUUAGUUUUUGUUUACUCAUGUGUUCAGCUCUUUUGUAAAAGUCUGCUUUGACUGCUUUGAAACAUCUGCAGGCUCCAUAAAGUCUGAAAUUUUGCUUAGUGCUGUCAUUCUGUGACGUUUUCAAUUUCCUCCCCACCUCUUACUAAACUUUCUUGGACAUUUAAAGAAGACUUGAGCUUUAAGGACCUUUGCUGAGUGAGAUGGUGGUCUCUGAGGAUGAACAGAAAAGCAAGAAGUCGGCCGCCACCAAGAGAAAAGGUUCUCAAGAGCAUCAGCAGGAGCAUCUGCCCCAGGCUCAGGAGACGAGAGAGGAGGAGGAGGAGGAGGAGGAGGAAGAAGAAGAGGAAGUGCAGGAGGAGGCCGAGGAGGAGGAGAGGCUCCUUCGUAGUGAGCCAAAGAGACACAGCCAUCCUCAUCACCACCAUCAUCAUCACCACCAUCGCUCCAGCACUAGCCGAUCAACAGAGCCCCAUAACAAACACCAGCACCAGGUGCGCCACCAGCAGCCCGUCGACAUGGAACUGCUUCCUGCUAAAGACACUUCAUAUACAGAGUCCCGGAGCAGGCGCACGCUCCCGGUUGAGAGCGACCCAGACCAAACCGAGGUCUACCACAAUAGGACUACAACUCAAAAGGACCAUAACCACCACCAUCACAACCAUCACCACCGACAUCACCACCCCCGCCGCGGGACUACGGAUGUUCAACCGGAUUAUACCCAUCUCGGGCAGCAGGACUACGAAUUGGAGCACAAUGAGCACAACAGGCAACAGAGACAGUCGAGCCAGCUGCGCUCACACACACAACCGCACCACUAUGUUCACUCGCACCACAAUCACUAUCACUACCAGGGACGGGAGCGGGACAGGGACAGGUGUGUAGAUUCAGAGGAGUUAACGGAAGACAUGUACAUUCAUCGCUGA
ensembl:lncRNA